UUCCUACGGGAGGCAGCAGUGAGGAAUAUUGGUCAAUGGGAGAGAUCCUGAACCAGCAACGCCGCGUGAAGGAAGAAGGCUUUCGGGUUGUAAACUUCUUUUAAGGGGGAAGAGCAGAAGACGGUACCCCUUGAAUAAGCCACGGCUAACUACGUGCCAGCAGCCGCGGUAAUACGUAGGUGGCAAGCGUUGUCCGGAUUUACUGGGUGUAAAGGGCGUGCAGCCGGAGAGACAAGUCAGAUGUGAAAUCCACAGGCUCAACCUGUGAACUGCAUUUGAAACUGUUUCCCUUGAGUAUCGGAGAG
rnacentral:rRNA from 1 species